AUGGACGUGAGCGUAACCACGACCUACUGUACAGCAGGUCGUGAGCGUAACAUGGGAGCUUCAAUGGUACAUCUAAGCUUUCUUGGUUAUCCCAAGCUGUUCCUUAUCCUUCCGCGUAAUAACUCUUUCUUGUACCCAAUAGAAUACCGAAUAGAGAUCGUAUAGAAGCUCAGAGGCUGCACCUGUCAUUCACAUAGACAGCUCUUGCACAGUGGGUGCCCUCAAAUGUACUGCAGAGUUUGCUGUGUUGCUGUUUAGUUGAGCAUCAACUGAUAGCCUCGACAAUAUGACAAGCAACACAUCUGCCAUUUCAGGUCUGUCUUAGGAAUGGCACGCCCCAGAAAGCUCGCCUUCGUGCAUAGCGUUUGCCACCAGCAUUUCCAGGAAAACAUUACAGAAGCAUAAGCUGCAGCUGCCCGGAAGCGUGAGAAGCAGCCAGGGAUCUUUUAAUGCUAUCGUGUUCCACUCUUAAAGGCUCAGCUUAAGUGUCCUCCAACCUUUUUUUUUUUUUCGCUGUUUGGGGACUGCCUUCUUGAAGGUGUUGCUUCGUUUCCUUUCUGCUGUAGGGCGAAUGUAAUAUCUGCUUUGAACAACGGCAAAGCCACAUUUUGAUUGCACUUGAUGCUGGCUGCACUAGUGCAGCAUCUCUCCUGAACACUAUUCCAACAGUUCACUAUGAUGUUAUCACUGAAAUAGAAUACACAAGACACCUUCGUGUACCACUUCAUCUACCUCGAAGUAAUAUGCCAUAGCUCUAUGAUCAUAUCCUUAACAUCCACUACUUUCUUGGAUUCAUUUCAGAUAGCUGGAAUGUACAGACUAAAAAAGCUCGGAAGCGCUUGCGCUCUUUGGAGAAUUUUGUAUGAGCAUUUUCAGGCUGUUCUGGUGACACUAAAAAAUACUGGCUCUCCUGUAAUCGAGAGUGGAUGUAAGCAUGAAAUGGCUGCCAACAAAGCAGAUUAAUUGUAGAUGACACUAGCCACAAUCUUAAAAUGGGUGUAGCGUACAUUCGAAACUGCACACCCCACCCCACCGCACCACGCAACUGUACACUGGUCCAUAUGGAAGCAAGUUUCCUGUCAAAGACAGAACCCCAUUGCAAGUCUCGUCUCGGUCCACCAGAUGCGCCGUGGACCUCGCGGACUGCUGGCAUUGAAAAGAGCACAAGCAACUGUGUCUCAGUGCCAAAAAAUGACAACCAAGUGUACAGUGCCUUGUAUCUGCCUCUGAACGUCGCUAUUAGAAGUGACAAAUAAAACUUCAGCGUACUAGAAGUUACAGCUUGAGUGAUAUUGUGAGAAAAUAUUUAGAACUCAGAAGCAAUAUUUUUUGUAACAUGUUUGGGAAGUAACUAGCAUAUGUAUUGCAGUCUUGACUGU